GUGUAUUUUGUAAAAAAUUAUAAGUUUAAAAAAAUAUAAUUAUGUCCCCAUUUAACUUAAUCACAUUGUUAAGACAAGUUUGACCUUGACUGGUCAAACUUGUCAUCAUUUGUCAUUAGUAGACUUUUUUUGUCACCGUCAGUUUAUUCUUCCCACUUUCUUCCUAAUCUAAUCUAUUCUAGAACAGUGAAAUCACAAUGGCGGUAAUUCCUGCCAACAUAUCGACAUAGUUGACACAGUACUGCAUUUUCCCCUCUCUCUCAAAAUCCUCAUCUCGCCCAAUUCUCCGGUUAUGUUGUCUUCGUUCUUAUAAUUUUUUCUUGAGAUCUUGAUUUCAUUAAUUACUAUCUCUGUGCCAUCUAAGAUCUCUGUUCCAUUAGUUUAGCAGUUUCGAUGAUUCCAAUCACUCCAUAUACUCUCAAGAGAUUGGGAGGUCGACCACAUAAGAGAUUGAAAUGGACGAUUUUAUGUUGAAGUGUCUUGCUUUAUUUCUAGAAAGUUGUUUGACAUCUAUGAAUGGUACAUGUGCUUGGAGAUUCAUGUCAUUUCCCUGCUUCUUAUCGAUGUGUCCUACUUAUUAUCUUCUUUUCUUCUUUCUGACCAUGCUUUCAGAAUAGCCUGAGAAAAAAGAAAGACUUUGGAGAAAACUCGAAACUAUUGCUUAUGCAGCUAUGAGGAAUAUUCCCACCAUGAAGGCAGUUUUUGAAGAAGGCUAAAUCUCAAGAUAAUUUCUUUUUGGAAAGCUGCACUGCCUUUUCUGAAAGCUGGAUUGAAGUAUAUGUGAGUGGAAAAGUUCUAUACUAGCGGUUGCUAUUCUGGACAACCAUAGCUUUGAUUGGCAAUAAGCUAUGAGGAAUAUUCCCUCCACGCAGAUAGUUUUUGAAGCAGGCUAAAGCUCAAGAUAUUAUCUUUCGAGAAACCUGCACUGCCCUUUCCGAAAGCUAAAUUGAAGAAACAAAAAGGAUAUAUGUGACGCACGUGCUUUAAAAAGGUAGACAGGUGGAGGGUCCAGAUCCUUACGAGCUAGAUCAGCUUGCACGGGAGCAUUUCCCUACUCCGGAGGUAGAAUCGCAAGCUUGAGAGGCACACAAUUCGAUGAUAGAGUUGAAGAGAUAUAAAGGUAUAUAUGUAUGAUAACACCACGCCUAGCUGGCUGGGCAUGACACCGCUAAGGCGGGCGACUUAUGAUAACACCGUGCCUAUUUGGCCGGACAUGACACCACUGGUGGGCGGCGUGACAUGAUUACUUCAGACGCGGGCUAAUGAUGUUAUUGUUUCGGACAACUUAUUUAUGUGUGUGCGAUAUGUUAUAAAGGUAAAAGGUAGACAGGGGGACUGUCCAGAUCCUUAGGAGCCAGAUCAGCUUGCACAGGAGCACUUCCCUACUCCGGAGGUGCCAGUCAUUGAUGCAUUCUUUUGUGUAUAUAUUUGGGCAUGGCAGGGUCCUGUCCCGUCCUUAUGUCUCAGUAUUGUAGUAGAGGCUCGUAGAUAUAUAUGUGUGGGUAGUAGAUGUCUUAUGAUCACCCCAAUGUAUAUUGUUAUAUAUACACUAUUUUUCCUCCGUGAGAGCUUAUAUAUAUGUGUAUAUGUAUUGCAUUGGAGAUUAUGUAUGUUUAGGUUGGGUAUGAUAACUGGCAUAAUGGGUGGUGCUCGGUAGUCAGCUCCGGGUACCCGUCAUGGCCCCUAGUUAGGUCGUGACAGCUUGUCAGAUCGCUAUGGCAGCCUUAAGGGCGUUGUAGCGGCCCCGCUACCGUCGUGGCGGUGACGGGUCAGGUAAUUUCAUUAAGUGUGAUUUAAAUAAGCCUUAGACCCUCAUUAUUUCUCAUUUCGAAAUUAGAGCUUUGGGGAACAUUUCUUGGAGAUAUUUAUGAGACAUUCUUGGAGGUAAAUCU